rnacentral:lncRNA from 1 species
CCAAAAUGGGAAAGUUAGACUUUGCUUCUGGCAGGCAGAGAAGGCAAUGAGACAAAGCACAGAAAUGAGCUUUUGAAGAGUUUUCUAAGCAGGACUGGCUAGGCAGCCUUUUUUUUUGUGAGAGGAGUUAGCUGUAGGAUUAGAUGCCAGAGAGGAUCCUCUCACAUGCUUGUACUUGGAAUAUUAAAUCAUCUAAUUUUAGAAUGAAUUUGUUUGCUUCUCUGUGUCGUAUUCUCUUCUGGUCCUGUCCUUUCUGUCUCUUCCGUCCACAAGGAAUGGGAGGAGAAAAGCUCCAAGAUCAGUUCCUCACCUAGACUGUAUGGUCUCCGCAGGGGUGGGCUGGCACGGUCUGUUCUCUGAUGUGUGCUCGUGCAACAAUGUCUUGAAUCACAGCUACCUCUGGGCUGCUAAGUCCCGUUCCAGAGAUAAUCAGUGAUGCCAGAAUUAGCAGUGGGUAGGGGACUUAGAACCUCCUUUUGCCUCUGUUUUCCUGGCCAAUACUCAGCAGCAAGCCAGAAGAGGACACGUGUCCCUCUCCUCAGAGUUUUUUAUUAUUUAUACUGCACGUUUCACACUUCCUCUUGUAUGGAAGAAACAUAAUUGUAUUUUUUCUUCCCCAAAAAGCUUUCUUUCUAAGCCUCAGUAAUACCAAUCAGGCUCAAGGAAGAAUCUUACAGAGAAAAGAAAUGGACAGUGAGGCUGCAAGAUGUCUGGAACAGCUGUGCACAUGGGAGUGAUACAGAUUCCUAUUUUAGUCUGUACUCUGACGCUGGAUGACUUCAUAAUUGUGCUUGGUGGUGGCAUGUUUCUGGCUUGGCAGUUGGGAUCUCAAUGUGCUUUCUUUUUUGACAUACUUCCAGGAUCAUGGAUUUCACUGGAGGAUGUCUUCCUUGUGUUAGCUGUGCCUGAGGGGGCAAGGGAGAAGGAUAGAUCUCCAACAAAUUUGGCAGUGAUGGAGCCAUGAGAAAGGGCUGUACUCAGGCUUCCUUCGCAACUUAUCCCUUCAUCAGCAUCAGCCUUUCACAAGUGUGACCAGUCUUUAAAAGAGCAAACUGCAUUUUUAUGGCAAUGCCA